CCUUUAGGGCAGGAGAACACACGGCACUUGAGCCAGACUCCAGGUGGGACAGGUGAGGAGCCGAUGGCUCACAGCCCAGCCAAGGCAAGUGUCUGCUGCAGACGCCGUUCUCCUGCCCAGGUCAUUCUUGAAGCUCAACACAUCAUGGAGAAAAGGAAAAGCAAGAAAUGGCACAUUCUCCUGUGGCACCUGCAUCAAGGUGGCUGCUCUGUUCUUGCCUCACAUUUCUCCACAAGGAAGCCUAAGUGCUGUGGAACCCAAUGACGCCCCAGCCCAGACCUCUCCUGUGCAUCCAGCAGCCCUCUGCAGCACCGGCCCCGCCAUGCUGUCAUGUGCGCACUUCCCAGGACACUCCCAGGACUGUCACCAGGAGCAGAGAACUGGCUCCGCAGAGUAGCUGGAAGAGUCCCACCAUUGCCGUGCUCCUAGUGACUUUGGUGUUCUAGACAGGAAGUGCUGCGGUUUUGAGAAUUUGCCAGGUCCUGUUCACGCACAUGUGCACUCUCUUUGUGAGACCCCUCACCACACCUUGGCCCUCCCACUGAUAACUCAGGAUCAUCUCCUUUUUAAUAAAGACAGGUGGCCAUCAUUAAAGCACAGCAAGCCUUAGUGAAAAUCUCGCAUGCCACUGGGGAGCGCUGGCACAGGUACCCUUCACUUCUCCCAGCGGGUAGCUCUGUCUCUGCAGCUUCAAUUUUAAAGCAUUUUCGCCUUCAGGUCAGCUAUCAAUACACAUACAGACUUUUAUUUUCAAAAGAACUUGAGUUUGUUCAAUAGAGAACACAUUUAAAAAAAAACAUUUUUAAUAGCUGGGAAGAUGGUUCAGUGGUAAAACACUUCCUAGCAUGCAUGAAGUCCCGGGUUCAAUCCCCAUCACCACAUAAAAAAAAAUAAACACCAGCAAUGAAAUGAUUUUAAAAAUCUAGAAAUACACCUUGCUUUUAAAAUGUUAUUGAAGGCCGUGUUUGCUUUGCUGAAUUCCAACAGAAGGGCUUGGAUCUACAGUGAUAACAUCUUUUAGUGUGGCUUUGGGGAACAGCAAAUGUCAAAUCUUCCAAACGAUGGUUUGUUCCUGUUGUGUUCGUUGCAUUGCUAUAUGAUUAGGCUCAUGAAAGCUGAAGCAAAUUUUGCAACAGAUAUGUUUGGCUUGAGCUAAAUUAAAUAAACCCCUGGAAUUACCCAAUUGGCAAUUACUGCUUGGUGUGCCUCAUUAGGAAAGGGCACAGGGUUUUUAGUACCUCUCUGCAGGAUCCCUAAGUUAGGAGGAGUCCCAGCUGAAAGCCUGGUAAACACCAGGCGGGGUUUUUUGUUUGUUUGUUUGUUUUGUUUUGUUUUGCUGUUUUAGUAAUUUUGUGUUAGCUUCUGGGACAUGUCUUGAGCUGUCAGAGGUGCAACUGGAAAGGGGAGUUGAGGUUCCACUUCCUUCUGUGGGCAUGUGUGCCUUCUUAAGGAGGAUACUUGUGCUUCUGCAGCCCGUGAGCACUUGUCCUGAGCUGCUGCCACCUUGGGUGGGAGACAUUGGGGUGUCCUGGGCAGACUUUCCUCACCAGUCACAUGACUUUCC